GACGAGGGGUCCUAGCGUUGUUCGGAAUCACUGGGCGUAAAGCGCAUGUAGGCGGCUUUGCAAGUCGAUUGUGAAAGCCCAGGGCUUAACCCUGGAAGUGCAGUCGAUACUGCAGAGCUUGAAUAUGGGAGAGGGUAGUAGAAUUCCUGGUGUAGUGGUGAAAUACGUAGAUAUCAGGAGGAACACCCGUAGCGAAGGCGGCACUCUGGGCCGAUACUGACACUGAGGAGCGAAAGCGUGGGGAGCGAACAGG
rnacentral:rRNA from 1 species